CCGUACUUAGGUCAAAUAACUCUGGAUGGAGAUCCUUCAGAAUUUUUCUAUUUUCUAUACCGAGUGUUUACCUUUCACAACUGGAUGAUCCACCUAUUGACAUAGCAUUCAUGGGCCUUCUGAGCAACAUGCUUGAGCUAGUCGACAAAUCUUCACCAUGACAAAUCAGUCUCUUAUAAGUAACAUCUAUACCACAUUCGUAUAAAUAAUUCUG
rnacentral:lncRNA from 1 species